CAUACACAUGUGUCAAAUCAAAAUUAAGGAGCAAAACAAACAGCAAUCCGUCUUCUUACUUUUAACAUUCUUGAAAAUACGUAGCCGUUAUUUUGGCGACAAUCAGUGUGCUCUGAGUAUUCGAAUUUGUGGUCUUGAGAAAGCUGUUCAUCCAUCCAUCAUUCAAUUCAGAUAAAUCUGUUUGUUGGCCUUCUGGUCUUGUCAAUAGUUCAAUUUUGAGACAAGUAAUUACAAAAGAAAAAGGAGUACUUCGAAGGUACAGAAGU